rnacentral:rRNA from 1 species
AACGUAGGAGGCGAGCGUUAUCCGGAUUUACUGGGUGUAAAGCGCGUGCAGGCGGUUUAGCAAGUCGUGCGUGAAAGCGCCCGGCUCAACCGGGCGAGGUCGUGCGAAACUGCUUAACUUGAGGUAGGUAGAGGCGUGUGGAAUUCCGGGUGUAGUGGUGAAAUGCGUAGAGAUCCGGAGGAACACCAGUGGCGAAGGCGACACGCUGGGCCUGACCUGACGCUCAGACGCGAAAGCAUGGGUAGCGAACGGGAUUAGAAACCCCCGUAGUCC